rnacentral:rRNA from 1 species
UACAGAGGGUGCGAGCGUUAAUCGGAAUUACUGGGCGUAAAGCGUGCGUAGACGGCUAUCUAAGUCGGGUGUGAAAGCCCCGGGCUCAACCUGGGAAUUGCAUUCGAGACUGAAUAGCUAGGGUACGGUAGAGGGAAGUGGAAUUUCCGGUGUAGCGGUGAAAUGCGUAGAUAUCGGAAGGAACAUCAGUGGCGAAAGCGACUUCCUGGACCAGUACCGACGUUCAGGCACGAGAGCGUGGGGAGCAAACAGG